rnacentral:rRNA from 1 species
GAUUAACGCUGGCGGCGUGCCUAAUACAUGCAAGUCGAAUGGUUAGCUUGCUAACCAUGGCGAACGGGUGAGUAACACGUAGGCAACCUGUCUUACAGACGAGGAUAACCGUUGGAAACGACGGAUAAUACUGGAUAGUACAUCAUAAUGGGCAUCCAUAGAUGUUUAAAGGAGCAAUCCACUGUAAGAGGGGCCUGCGGCGCAUUAGCUAGUUGGUGAGGUAACGGCCCACCAAGGCGAUGAUGCGUAGCCGGACUGAGAGGUUGAACGGCCACAAUGGAACUGAGAACGGUCCAUACUCC